GACGUAGGGCGCGAGCGUUGUCCGGAUUUAUUGGGCGUAAAGAGCUCGUAGGCGGCUUGUCGCGUCGACUGUGAAAACCCGCGGCUCAACUGCGGGCCUGCAGUCGAUACGGGCAGGCUAGAGUUCGGUAGGGGAGACUGGAAUUCCUGGUGUAGCGGUGAAAUGCGCAGAUAUCAGGAGGAACACCGGUGGCGAAGGCGGGUCGCUGGGCCGAUACUGACGCUGAGGAGCGAAAGCGUGGGGAGCGAACAGG
rnacentral:rRNA from 1 species